GUAGUUCAGCUGGUUAGAAUGCCGCCCUGUCACGGCGGAGGUCGCGGGUUCGAGCCCCGUC
rnacentral:tRNA from 2 species